GAUUCUCCUGCCUCAGCCUCCCAAGUAGCUGGGAUUACAGCCCUGGGGACAGAGGGUUUCCUCCUCCUGGACAGAGAAGGCCCAGAGUCGGCUUCUGAACGGAUAUCCGGCCCGCAGGAUGCAGAGGAGGCAAAGGCCUCAUUGUUCUUUGGGGCCUGCCUGCCUGCCUGCCCCGCCCCCAGCCGUAGGACACUCGUGGUAGAUCCCGGGUGACCGAAGACAGCCCAUUGCCAGGAGUGGGGCCUUCGGAGCGGAGGGAGCAAGAAAACAGGGCUGAUCACAGACCAGGAGUCUGAUGUUCUGAGCAUAAUACUGGAAGGAGCUAAGAGCCCCAAAAUAAAUAAGACCGGAAUUUAAAAACGUUAAU